UAGGGAAUCUUCCACAAUGGACGAAAGUCUGAUGGAGCAACGCCGCGUGAGUGAAGAAGGGUUUCGGCUCGUAAAGCUCUGUUGUUAAAGAAGAACGUGGGUAAGAGUAACUGUUUACCCAGUGACGGUAUUUAACCAGAAAGCCACGGCUAACUACGUGCCAG
rnacentral:rRNA from 1 species